UUUUAUACUGUAUAUUUACAGACGUCCAAGCAGAAAUAUAUUAAUUUGCAACAAAAUUCAAACAUACACAUAUAUAGAUAUUUUAUAAAUAAACUUACAAAAAUUAUAAAUAUAUAAACUUGUCAAGUGAUCCUUUUUUCUGAUUUUCUCCACCAUAAAACUUCGCAAACUAACAGUCGCCUAUCUCCGGUGUGUCUGUGCACGUGCGGCUGCCGGAGGACCUCCUCCUCUUGUUUCUCAUUUUCUCUUUGUUGUUCGUCUGAUCCUUCGUCCUCUCUGAUAUGCUUGUGAUCAUGCCCUCCGGUUUUUUUACUAAUGCGAGGUCGCGCACCAUAUCUUCAAAUCAGGAGACGUUUCUUCUUCUGGUGGUUUCACAUUGAGGAUAUGAGGCAGUUAUUACGGCGGAUGGUCGGUUCUUAGGACUUCGUGGGGUAGAUCGGUUUUACCUUUUAGAUCUCCCCGGAAUCGUCGCAAUUGCAGUUGGUUAAGGUCGGUCUCAUCUCGAGAGUCUUCGACUUGUUCGCGGCUUUAAAGUGUUUUCGUUCGAUUAUAGUGGUUGGUUUCUCGGGUUACUUUGGCGUCGGCAUGGUCCAGCACCCUUUUCCCGUAGUCAGGUGAGCUCUGGUGCUUCUUCAGAUCGGAGGUGGGCCUUGGGGCAGAUGUACGCAGUAGGAGAUGGUGCUUUGUCUCAACUCUGGCCCGUGUGGAUGAUCUUGAUGCCUGUUUCAAUCCAGUCAUCCAUGGCUGCUUGUGGGCAGCUUGUUCGGCCCUUCACUUCGGAUACCUUCUUCACGGCUUCCAUUCUAGUUUUAAUUUGCUUGGGCAUAUGGCUUUGUUCGGUCUUGUCUCGUGUUGCAUCGUCAUCACAGUUUUGGUUAUUGCUCUUUGGUUUUCAAAAGCCUCAGAAGGAGAGGCGGUGCUCGGGUAUGUCAUUCCGCCUUGGUGUCUCCUUUUGGUCUUGAUCACUUCCCAGAAUCACUUUAGCUUUCAGAGUUCUUGUCGUGGUGCUUUAGACAUUCCAUUUUGGUGUUUAGUCUGGCUAGGAGGAGACUGGCGGCGCUUCCGGUCCUUUUUAUUUUUUUCAGGUUACUAGGUGAUGUAGCUAGAGCUUGCUCGAGUUGGGAUUGAGUUAGAGCAUUGGAUGGCUAUUGUGGCAAUCGCAAGGCUUCUUGUUACUCCGGAGACGUCAAGGAAAAUCCCGGCAUCCAAGACAACAAGGAGAGCCUCACUUUUCUGAGAGCCACGUCGAAAGUUGAGAACGGCAACCAAUAUCAAGGAAUAUCAAAAACAAA